rnacentral:rRNA from 1 species
GACGAACGCUGGCGGCGUGCUUAACACAUGCAAGUCGAGCGGUAAGGCCCUUUCGGGGUACACGAGCGGCGAACGGGUGAGUAACACGUGGGUGACCUGCCCUCAGCUCUGGGAUAAGCCUGGGAAACCGGGUCUAAUACUGGAUAUGACUCCAUGACGCAUGUUGUGGGGUGGAAAGCCUUGUGCGGCUGAGGAUGGGCCCGCGGCCUAUCAGCUUGUUGGUGAGGAACGGCCCACCAAGGCUUCGACGGGUAGCUGGUCUGAGAGGACGAUCAGCCACACUGGCACUGCGACAC